CACGGGUGCGUACGCGUNGUAAUCUACUAUAACUGGGGAAUAGCUUCCGAAAGGAGAUAAUACCGGAUGAUAUCACGAACGGGCUCGUUUGGUGAUCAAAACUCCGGUGGUUAUAGAUGAGCAUGCGUGACAUUAGCUAGUUGGUGAGGUAACGGUCACCAAGGCGACGAUGUCUAGGGGUCUGAAGGAUGAUCCCCCAACUGGUACUGAACACGGACCAACUCCUACGGGAGGCACAUAAGGAAUAUUGGACAAUGGCCGCAAGGUGAUCCAGCCAUGCCGCGUGAAGGAUGAAGGUGCUAUGCAUUGUAAACUUCUUUUGUCCCGGAAUAAACCCCUGAUUUCUAUCGGGGCUGAAUGUACGGGAAGAAUAAAGGGACGGUAACUUCGUGCCAGCAGCCGGGUAAUACGAAGGUCCCAAGCGUAUCCGGAUUUAUGGGGUUUCAAAGGGUGCCGUAGCGGUUGGUAAUCCGGUGGAAACCUAAAUCAAUGUAAAUUGCAUUAUACUGACAAUCUUGAGUAUGGUUGAGGUGGGCCGGAAUGUGUCUUGUAGGGGAAAUGCUUAGNUUUGACCGGAAACCCGUUUUGGGGAAAGGGGCA
rnacentral:rRNA from 1 species